rnacentral:rRNA from 1 species
UACGUAGGGGGCAAGCGUUGUCCGGAUUUAUUGGGCGUAAAGAGCGUGUAGGCGGCCAAGCAGGUCCGCUGUGAAAACUCGAGGCUCAACCUCGAGACGUCGGUGGAAACCGUUUGGCUAGAGUCCGGAAGAGGAGAGUGGAAUUCCCGGUGUAGCGGUGAAAUGCGCAGAUAUCGGGAAGAACACCCGUGGCGAAGGCGGCUCUCUGGGACGGUACUGAACGCUGAGACGGCGAAAAGCGUGGGGAGCGAACAGG